CCUACGGGUGGCAGCAGUAGGGAAUAUUGCUCAAUGGGGGAAACCCUGAAGCAGCAACGCCGCGUGGGGGAUGAAGGUUUUCGGAAUGUAAACCCCUUUUGUUAGAGAAGAUAAUAACGGGAUCCAACGUAUAAGCACCGGAUAACUCCGUGCCCGCAGCCGCGGUAAUACGGAGGGUGCCGGCGUUACUCGGAAUCACUGGGCGUAAAGAGGGCGUAGGCGGGAUAGCAAGUCAGGUGUGAAAGCCUAGGGCUUAACCAUAGAACUGCAUUUGAAACUGUUAGUCUAGAGUAUGGGAGAGGUAGGUGGAAUUCGUGGUGUAGGGGUAAAAUCCGUAGAGAUCAAGAGGAAUACUCAUUGCGAAGGCGACCUGCUGGAACAUGACUGACGCUGAUGUGCGAAAGCGUGGGGAGCGAACAGGAUUAGAUACCCGAGUAGUC
rnacentral:rRNA from 1 species